UAACGCGAAGAACCUUACCAGGCCUUGACAUGCAGAGAACUUUCCGGAGAUGGAUUGGUGCCUUCGGGAACUCUGACACAGGUGCUGCGUGGCUGUUGUCAGCUCGUGUCGUGAGAUGUUGGGUUAAGUCCCGUAACGAGCGCAACCCUUGUCCUUAGCUACCAGCACGUCAUGGUGGGCACUCUAAGGAGACUGCCGGUGACAAACCGGAGGAAGGUGGGGAUGACGUCAAGUCAUCAUGGCCCUUACGGCCUGGGCUACACACGUGCUACAAUGGUCGGUACAGAGGGUUGCCAAGCCGCGAGGUGGAGCUAAUCUCACAAAACCGAUCGUAGUCCGGAUCGCAGUCUGCAACUCGACUGCGUGAAGUCGGAGUCGCUAGUAA
rnacentral:rRNA from 1 species